rnacentral:lncRNA from 1 species
AGAAAACUUAGUAGUCAUUAAUAUCUGCUAUUUGUGGUUUGUUCCUUUAUCUUUUCUCCACACAGGUAGAUGAAGUAAGCUUUGUUGUAGAAGAUUCCAGAGUUUCUUCUUUAAGUGUAUUCUCUUGGAAAAGUAAGACCUGAGUUGAGAUACGCGCUUGCGCACUCAAAAAGUUUACCUGACACUUCAUAUGAAGGUGUGCUGAUACAAGGUAUCUGGAGCAUCUACUCAGCAAAUGGUGGGGCAAGUGUUAACAGUCCUCUGCAUUGAGACCUCAGCUGCACCUACUGAUUGCUGAGAUUUUCAGCCCAGCAGCCCUGGUAUCUUGGGAAAUGUUUUCCUGUUGCACGAAGGAACUCUUCAGAUGGUGGUGGAGUGUAAGGAUCAGAAGUAUCUGCCAUGCUGACCUUCAUGCCCAACAGGAGCAUGCAACACAAUUUAGAACAAACAGAAAACUCCCCAGUGGUGUUCAUUGUUUGUGCGCCAGCAGCCACCCGUCAUUUGACAGCAUCCACUCUGUGAACAGGAAAAACAUAAAAGACUGUGUCCCUCCUAACAGCCUAUUCUCCCGUGUCUGGCAGCCUGCCCUAGCAGUGCUUCCAAAGGCAGAACUUUAAUGGGAAGCUGAAAAGUUUCCAGAAUUUGGUUUAUGUUCAUUUCUAGCAUUUAGCAUUCAAUAAAAUGCAUUGGAGGACAUAUGCUGUUGUAAUU